rnacentral:rRNA from 1 species
AGAGUUUGAUCCUGGCUCAGGAUGAACGCUAGCUACAGGCUUAACACAUGCAAGUCGAGGGGCAGCAUGGUCUUAGCUUGCUAAGGCCGAUGGCGACCGGCGCACGGGUGAGUAACACGUAUCCAACCUGCCGUCUACUCUUGGACAGCCUUCUGAAAGGAAGAUUAAUACAAGAUGGCAUCAUGAGUCCGCAUGUUCACAUGAUUAAAGGUAUUCCGGUAGACGAUGGGGAUGCGUUCCAUUAGAUAGUAGGCGGGGUAACGGCCCACCUAGUCUUCGAUGGAUAGGGGUUCUGAGAGGAAGGUCCCCCACAUUGGAACUGAGACACGGUCCAAACUCCUACGGGAGGCAGCAGUGAGGAAUAUUGGUCAAUGGGCGAGAGCCUGAACCAGCCAAGUAGCGUGAAGGAUGACUGCCCUAUGGGUUGUAAACUUCUUUUAUAAAGGAAUAAAGUCGGGUAUGGAUACCCGUUUGCAUGUACUUUAUGAAUAAGGAUCGGCUAACUCCGUGCCAGCAGCCGCGGUAAUACGGAGGAUCCGAGCGUUAUCCGGAUUUAUUGGGUUUAAAGGGAGCGUAGAUGGGUUGUUAAGUCAGUUGUGAAAGUUUGCGGCUCAACCGUAAAAUUGCAAUUGAUACUGGCAGUCUUGAGUACAGUUGAGGUAGGCGGAAUUCGUGGUGUAGCGGUGAAAUGCUUAGAUAUCACGAAGAACUCCGAUUGCGAAGGCAGCUUACUAACCUGUAACUGACAUUGAUGCUCGAAAGUGUGGGUAUCAAACAGGAUUAGAUACCCUGGUAGUCCACACGGUAAACGAUGAAUACUCGCUGUAGGCGAUAUACAGUCUGCGGCCAAGCGAAAGCAUUAAGUAUUCCACCUGGGGAGUACGCCGGCAACGGUGAAACUCAAAGGAAUUGACGGGGGCCCG